UAGGUGCUGUGUUUCUGUGUAUUGCUGAUGGUGUCUGUGUGGGUGUUACUGUAGUUCCUGGCAGUAUAUUGCUGUAGGCCUUGGUUGUGUGUGUGUUGCUGUAGUUGCUGUCUGUGUAUUGAUGUAGUCUUGGCUGUGUGCUAUAUGUCCCGGCUGUGUUUUGCUGUAGAUCCUGGCUGUGUGUAUAUCGCUGUAUGUCCUGGAUGUGUGUGUAUUGCUGUAGGUGCUGGCUGUGCGUGUAUUGCUGUAAGUCUUGGAUGUGUAUCGCUGUAGGUUCCGGCUGUGUGUAUAUUGCUCCUGGCUGUGUGUUUAUUGCUUUAGGUCCUGCUUGUGUAUUGCUGUAGAUCCUGGCUAUGUUUUGCUGUAGGUUCUGGCUGUGUGUGUAUUGCUGUAUGUCCUGUCUGCGUGUGUGUUGCUGUAUGUCCUGGCAGUGCAUUGCUGUAGGUCUUGGCUGUGUGUGUAUCGCUGUAAGUCCUGGCUGCAUGUGUAUUGCUGUAGGUCUCAGCUGUGCGUUGCUGUAGGUUCUGGUUGUGUAUUGCUAUAGGUCCUGGCUGUGUAUUGAUUUAGAUCCUGUGUUUAUUUUGCUGCAAAUCUUGGCUGUGUAUCGCUGUAGGUCCCGGCUGUGUGUAUAUUGCUCUACGUCCUGGCUGUGUGUUUAUUUCUUUAGUCCUGGCUGUGCAUCGCUGUAGGUGUUGGCUGUGUGUAUAUUGCUGUAGGUCCUGGCUGCACAUUGUUAUAAGUCCUGGCUCUGAAUG